ACUCCUACGGGAGGCAGCAGUGGGGAAUUUUGGACAAUGGGCGAAAGCCUGAUCCAGCCAUGCCGCGUGCAGGAUGAAGGCCUUCGGGUUGUAAACUGCUUUUGUACGGAACGAAACGGCCUUUUCUAAUAAAGAGGGCUAAUGACGGUACCGUAAGAAUAAGCACCGGCUAACUACGUGCCAGCAGCCGCGGUAAUACGUAGGGUGCAAGCGUUAAUCGGAAUUACUGGGCGUAAAGCGUGCGCAGGCGGUUAUGUAAGACAGUUGUGAAAUCCCCGGGCUCAACCUGGGAACUGCAUCUGUGACUGCAUAGCUAGAGUACGGUAGAGGGGGAUGGAAUUCCGCGUGUAGCAGUGAAAUGCGUAGAUAUGCGGAGGAACACCGAUGGCGAAGGCAAUCCCCUGGACCUGUACUGACGCUCAUGCACGAAAGCGUGGGGAGCAAACAGGAUUAGAAACCCGAGUAGUCCCAUGAU
rnacentral:rRNA from 1 species